rnacentral:rRNA from 1 species
UACAGAGGUCUCAAGCGUUGUUCGGAUUCAUUGGGCGUAAAGGGUGCGUAGGUGGCGCUGUAAGUCAGGUGUGAAAUUUCGGAGCUUAACUCCGAAACUGCAUUUGAUACUGCGGUGCUUGAGGACUGGAGAGGAGACUGGAAUUCACGGUGUAGCAGUGAAAUGCGUAGAGAUCGUGAGGAAGACCAGUGGCGAAGGCGGGCCUCUGGACAGUUCCUGACACUGAGGCACGAAGGCCAGGGGAGCAAACGGG